rnacentral:rRNA from 1 species
UACGUAGGGGGACAAGCGUUGUUCGGAUUCAUUGGGCGUAAAGGGUGCGUAGGCGGCGCGGUAAGUCGGGGUGUGAAAAUCUCGGAGCUUAACUCCGAAACUGCAUUCGAUACUGCCGUGCUUGAGGACUGGAGAGGAGACUGGAAUUUACGGUGUAGCGGUGAAAUGCGUAGAUAUCGUAAGGAAGACCAGUGGCGAAGGCGGGUCUCUGGACAGUUCCUGACGCUGAGGCACGAAGGUCAGGGGAGCAAACGGGG